rnacentral:misc_RNA from 1 species
GAAGUGCGAUAAGCAAUGCGAAUUGCAGAAUUCCGCGAAUCAUCAGAUCUUUGAACGCAAACGGCGCCAGAGGGAUAUCCUUCCGGCAUGUCUGUUUCAGUGUCUGAGAGGUUUCACACUAAUCUUAAUGUGAUUGAAUCGAGUAAGUAAGUUAGUUUACUAGCUGCCCUACUCCUUUCUCUCAUGAAAGAUGCGCGAGGGGAUCUUUCGGUCCAAUGAAGUGGUCACAUCACUCGAAUGUGAUUUCAUUGGAAGCACCGAAUUAUCAUUUAACAACUCGUGGUAUCAUUAAACUAAUAUUAAAAAGUGAUGCUACUUCUUUGUAUGUAUCAUUUUUUUAAUUCUCUCUCUAUACCCUGCAUCUGAGAUAGGCAAGAUCACCCGCUGAACUUAA